rnacentral:lncRNA from 1 species
AAGAACUUUAACAUUUUAUAUUUUCUUCUUUUUUUUUUAAAGUAUCAGAGAUAGAACCCAUGGGCUUAACCACUGAGCCACAUUCCAGUCCUUUUUAUUUUUUAUUUUGAGACAGGGUCUUGCUAAGUUACUUAGGGCCUCUAUAAGUUCCCAAGACUGGCCUGGAACUUGCAAUCCUCCUUUCUCAGCCGCCCAAGUUGCUGGGAAUACAGGUGUAUAUCAUCAUGCCUGGCUCUCUUUAUUCUUUUAAACUAAUGUACCUAUCAAAUAUUCUAAUGUAGUUUAACAUUUAGAUUGAAGGUGUCCUAGCAGAUUUUGGAAGCUCAAUAGUUUCUGCAUAUGUUUUGAUUACUGCAAAGAUAUGUCCAGGCAGUUUUGAUUUCUUGCAUUCUACACUGGUAGGUAGGAAGAAUUGGCUUAUAACAAUGUUCCAUGUCAAAGCUCACUACAUUCUCAUCCUUGGCUUUUCCAACUAAAUAAUUUUAACUCCCUAUUUUUUUCCUAAGAGGACAUACUUCUCAAUAUGUCUUCUUUUGAGAAUUUAAGAACUGCCAUUUUCCCUCUGAAAAAGUUAUGACUUCCUGCUUGGUACUUCCUGCUCAGUAUUUUGACUUCUUUUAAGCCCCGUAAAACAGAGUUUCCUGAUUUGGGGAGAU